rnacentral:lncRNA from 1 species
UUAUUUUAGUCUUGGGUUUGGUUCACAAUAUUAGGAAUCUGAUAAAGUCUCGAGUUUAAUUCGAGUGUGUGGAUCUGAGUAGGGAUAUAGAAUUUUCGAUCUUGAUUCUGAUUUAGGUAGCUAUGUUUUCGAUUACAUUUGCUGGUUUUUUUAUUUUGUGUAAUUAAAUGUCUUUAUAUUUUUGUAUGUUUAGAGGAUUGGUAUAUCUCAAAGUUACAUACCAAGUCAAAAUAUACCAAUAUCAUUUUGAAAUAGUAAAUAUUUUUAGUCUAAAUAGGGAUUAGGUAUGUAACUUGGGGUUGAGCAUUUUUAAUACAAUUAUAAUUAUUUAUAUUUAGUUUAUAUUAUAAGCAGUUCAAGUAGUGUUACCAUUCUCUAAUCCUUUUCAAAUGCAUCAAUGUAACCCAUCAC